CCAGCUUUUGCAGCACCAGGCCCUGGAAAACCCCAGAGUUUCCACAUUUUCACUGACUGCUGCUUUGGCUUACCAUCUUGAAAAAUAUUGACUAACAACACCACAGCAACAGUAGACCUUGAGUCACCUUUCCUAAUUUUAAUACGAUUCCAAAUAAGGAUUGAAGAUUGUUUAUCAAGGAAAAUUAGCUCCAUGAAUCCAGUUCCCAACUGGCUUCCAAACUUACAGUACAGUAAAGGUUUUAUACAUAAGCACCCCUUAAAGAAAGAAAAAGAAAAAAGUUUUCGUGUGUCCAGUUUUUUAUAUCUAUAUAAAGCUAGUGACUCAUAGCAAUGCCAGCAGUUACAUGAUUAUAUGCCAUAACACAGACAUCGUGUGAAGAUCACAUCCUUUCAUCUGUGAGAAUAGUGCUGAUGGGGUUUCCCUGCUGUGGUUUUAUAGUGUGGUGCCGGCUCUUUCUUGCUGAGAGAAGGUGAUGACAGACAUACACUUGCUGCACCAAGCCAGACGGCCUAACAUUUGCUUCCUCCCCAAUUCCCAUGAAUGUGAAUCUGACAAACUCUCAGACCCACUGCAGGUUCUGGUUGGAGUGGCCCUCCAGAGCAGGAAGAGGACUCAAAACCUGGAGUUUGUCUGACUGUGAGACAAAGCUGACUGGUGGACUACCUCCACAAGAGCAAA